rnacentral:lncRNA from 1 species
AAAAAAAAAAAAUAGUCUUCUGAGAAAAAAAAAUAAAAAAAAUAGUCUUCUGAGAAUUUUUGAACAUACUUAACGUAGAAACCCUAAAAGUCUUCACUAAAAUAGGAUCAUAAAAUCUAGAUAAUAUGCAAAUAAUGAGGUUUCAAAAGAUAUAAAAAAUUUUAGUUACUUUUAAAAUGAGGUUUCAAAAGUCUAUCACCGAUGGUCUCAACUCAACACACAUGACCAUGGAUUUUCUGAUAUGUUUGAUGAUGAUACCACAAAUAAUGUGAUGCUAAAAUAAUUUUACUCUUUUUGAGUGUGUUGUCUCAUGUUGUAUUUUUUUUAAUAAAUUCAAAAGUUCAGGAAAUCCUAAAUAUCUGAUUCUUUUUAUCGGUCAAGAACAAAUAAAACCACUUAUUUACCUCCUUAUUUCUUUGUUCUCCAAAAUCUUCAACAUUUUGUGCCCAAAUAAAACGUUUUUAAAAAUAAUUUUUUAUUUGAAAAUAUCAUAUUUUAUUUUGAUCAUAUGAGUUAGGUAAGAACGCGUAGAUGCGGGAAAGUUUAUGAAGUCGAAUAAAAUCAAAUCCUCGUACAGUACUAAUAUUCCAUACAGAUUAGAGAAUUUAUCGACUUUUUAGGUAGGCUUCUGUGUUUUUACCGUCAACAGCUAGAACCUAUAUAUGAUUGUCAAUAUAAAUAAAAAUAUUAACAUCAAAGUUACCAAUAGACAUAAUUCAUGCAGCGACAUGCCACAAGAAGAAAUCCCACUCUCAUUUUAGCCUUUAUGUUAGUUACUUAGAUAAACAUAUUGACAUCAAAGUUAUAAUGCAUUUUAAUACUCUAGUUCUUGAUAACCUAACCUAAUGAAAGAAAAAAGCAAAAACAAAACAUGAACCAAUUAUUGUCGCAUACAAAUGCAACUUUAAAGACAUACUCAUAUGUUAUUCCAUUCGACAACACAACAAACAUGAACCAAUUAUUAUAGUUUAUAAGAUUUCUUUUUGUCGCGAGGCAACUACUCUACCUUAGCUAUUUUAAGUUUUUAACUGAAGAGUCGAAUUCUAAAUUUCUAAUUUGACGGAGGUAGAAAAUUUUGUUAACAGGGUCAAAAUAAAUUAUUUAUAUUAAAUAAUAUAUAUAAUUGUUUAUGAUUUGUUGAAGAUGACUCAAAAGAAUUGACCCUCCUAAUUAAGCACCAUGUACCUCCGCCCCUGGGAUACCACAUUGCUCUGAAUGUAAUACGCUAGGUUCAAAGAAAUAUGUUAAUUGUUAAUGUAUGUAUGAAAUCAGAAAAGUAAUGAAUGGGAUCUAAAUAAUAGACAUAUGUUAAUUGUUAAGUUUUUGCUUAUCUAACUGUGUAGAUCGAUUCUCUAGAUCAUUUUAGAUCUUUACUCUUCUUCAAGACUUUCCUAAUUCUUCUCCAAGGCUCUGGAUCCUUCUAAAACAUUCUGAAAUAGUACAAUCAAAGAAUGCUUAGAAAUGUCUAAGUGUUGGUAGGUAACCUCUCAGGCUCAGCCCAUACUCCCUUGUAUAUUAAUGGACGGAUUGGGCUGUUACAAGGUACUCUUUUAAGAAACCUUGAAUCUUCUUUUCUUUUUCUCCAAAUCAUCGGUAGGAAUUGAAAAAAACCCGGUCAUUUGAAAUUAUUAUGAUGCGUGACAUAGCUGAUGUCUAGUGAUUUUGGUUGUUUUAAAGCCUAUUUUCUCUUAGUUUUCAUUGCUUUGCAUUCAUAUUUUGGCAUAUAGUGUUGCAUUUGCAUUUGCAUUUGGUUUUCUUAGGUACAUGAAUGGAGCUUGGAGUUUUGGGAAUAAAUAGAGCAAAAAGGAAGCUAAAAGAAGGCAACUUGAGUAAUGAAGAUCAAAGAGGGAUCAAGAGGUGAAAGGAGAUGUCAAGAUGUGGUGAAAAAAGAUGAUUGAAGAAGAGAAGAGGAAGCAAUAUACCACCUGGUCGAUUCCCUGGUCGAUUGACAUGGAUCAGAGCUACGGACAAGACACCAAUCGAUCAAGCAAUCGACCGAUUGCCUCAGGACAAACCAAUCGACCACCUGGUCGAUUCCCUGGUCGAUUGACAUAGACCAGAGCUACGGACAACAUUUCAAUCGAUUACUUGAUCGAUCGAUUGCUCUACCCAAUAGACCAAGUGGUCGAUUGAGUGGUCGAUUGGGUGCCUAAACCGGGUCAAAACCCGGUUUGUUCCGGGUUGACCCGGUUCGUUUUUCCUUUUCUAUAUAUACUUUUAACCUAGUUUUAGAUUGUCUUAUGCUUUGUUUAGAGAUCAAAAACUUCUCUUAAGGUUUCUAUCUAAGUUUUUGUAUGAAUCUUUGGUUCUUAAGCUUAAAUAUCAAGUACUUCUUUUAAAUUCUCUUAUCUACCUUCUCUAAUUAUGAUUUCACAAAGAUCAAACUUAUUGCUUUGUGUAAUCAUGAUCAUGAGUGAGUAGUCAUUUAGAGUUCUUGGGUUAAGGUAGAUUAGGAUGGUUUAGUUGUUAGGUUAUGGAGUUUAGGGCUAGAUUACUUAAGAUCCUUACUUAUUGGUUGUUUAUAACGCUAGAUUAGCCUUGAUCAUGUUGAUUUAGACUUUAGGGAUUUCAUGCCCGGAAGGUGUUCGAUGAAAUUCCCGAACCAAAACCUUUAAGUGCUUUACAUUCCUUACCUUUGGAAAUUGUUGACUAGGGUGUUAAGUGGCUAGAUAGACUUGUUUAUAAUGCUUGUUAGUCAAUUGAUUGCCUUUGGAAGAAGUUGAUGAUUAAUUGAUUAGUAAAUGGACUAAUGUCAUGGAAAUGUGUUAGUGUUGCUUAGUGUUCUAUGGCCUAGGGAUCAUUGCUUAUUAGAAGUUGUUUGAAGCUCCAUAAUCCACUUCUUAAUCAUUCCUAAUCAAUUUCCUUUAACCCGAGAAUUCGCCUUUAGUUAUCGUUUAGUAACUCGUUAAUUUUCCGCUUUGUUUACUUUCGAAACUUGUUAGUCUUUUGCAUUUUGCUUUCAUUUGUUUUGUUUUGCAUUGUUUGAUUGUUAUUUACUUUGUUAGUCAUGUUUACAAAACCAAAUCAUUUUAUUAGCCUAGAUUAAGCUUUUGCGUGUAUUCCUAGUGAGUUGAUCAAUUGCAAAUUGUGGUUCGAUAUUUAAUUGAGUAAAAGUACUACAUCAAUAGCCCCUUUGUUUUUGUCUUUGUCUUUCUUGUAGUUGUCUUUAAGAUCCUUUGUGUACUAAUAUCUUGUAUUUUUGUUGGUUUUAUAGCUUCAUUUCUCUCAAUUUUCCAUUAUUUUGCAUUAAUGUUUAGGUCAUUAGAUGCAAAUUUGCAUUGCAUUUCUUAUUUUUAGGUUCUUGGAGUGGAGCAUAGAGUUUUGGAAGCAAAUGGAGCAAAGUGGAGCUAAAAGAAGUGAAGACUCGAAGAAUCAAGAAGAUCAUGAAAGCAAUCGACCAGUUGAUUUUCCGCUUUGUUUAAUAUUUGAAUCUUAGUAGUCUCUUACUUAUAUUUGAUUAAAAAAAAAAUAAUAAAUAAAAAAAAAAACCAAUAUCCUCCAUCUUAGAUUAAAUGAUAGCAUGUCUCUCCUUGUCUAUAGCGUAUUCAUCUUUACGAUCAUCUUAAAGAUGUUCCUUUUGACCUUAUUCAUCAACAAGGGCUUACUCAUAUUGCAGGUCUUAUAGAGGAACCAAAAGAAACUGAUGAUUGGAUAAUUACCUUACCAGCUCAUGUCAUGGUUAAAUUGGACUCCUCAAAGAAUCUUACCAUGUCCUUGAAAUUCUAAGAUCAAAUGGGUCUGUCUCUACAGUUAACGUUAAGUACCCUUGGGUUCCCCCGAUUUGUUCUUAUUGUAAUGAAGUCGGGCGUAUGGUGAAAAACUCUCUUGGCACCUCCUCCAGUCCCAAAAAACUCCAUCUGCAUUAACUGUGAAUUAUGUGGUUAUUUCAGAGGUUCUAAAGUUCUAAGGCAGGGAGACCCUUUGUCGCCAUAUCUGUUUGUUCUAUCUAUGGGAGGAUUCUCUCAGAUGUUAUCAAAAAGCUACAACAAUAAUCAGAUUGGUGCUCACCCUAACGCUUCUAAUCCGCAAGUCUCUCACUUGGCCUUCGCUGAUGACAUCAUGGUCUUCUUUGACGACAAGAAAAACUCUUUGUUGAAUAUUGCAGAGGUUCUUCAGGAAUUCUCCAUUGUUUCUGGUUUGUCUAUGAAUAAAAGCAAAACUGAUUUGUUCAUUGUGGAAUGAACCAAACUGAAACCUCUCAGAUCGCCUCUCUUGGUUUCAGAAUUGGUUCACUGCCCAUAAGAUAUCUUGGUCUUCCUUUAAUGCACAGGAAGCUACAGAUUGUGGACUACAGGCCAUUGCUUGAGAAGAUAACAAGUCGUUUCACCUCUUGAUCCUCUCGUGCUCUGUCCUAUGUUGGAAGGAAGCAGUUGAUAUCCUCCGUCAUCUACGGGACUAUUAAUUUCUCGCUCUCUGCUUUCAUUAUCCCUAAAGGUUGCAUUAAAAAGAUCGAAAGUUUGUGUUCUAAUUUUCUUUGGAGUGGUGAUGUGAACAAGAAGGAUUGGUUGCGUAAUAACAAGAUAAAGGAUGGAAUUUUCUGGUGCGUUGAUGUUUAAAACCAGACCUCUUGGACUUGGAAAUCAAUUCGAACAUGCGGCCUAUUGCUAUUAAUUUCCUUAGAUGCAUUAUGGGAAAUGGUAAUCAGCUCAGUUUUUGGUAUGAUUGGUGGACUCCCUUAGGUCCUUUGAUUGAUUUUCUAGGCCCCUCUGGCCCAGCUCAGACUGGAAUUCCUCUUCUUGGAAAAGUUGCUCAUGCUUCCUCUCCCACAUGAUGGGUUCUCAGGCCCGCAAGAUCAAGUCAAGCUGAAACUCUCCACAUCCAUCUCACCACGGUACAACCUCCCUCUCUAUGCUCUGAUCAGGAUUCAUUUUUGUUGUUGAUUGGUUCGGAUGAGCUAGAAAGCUUCUCUACUAGGAAAACAUGGGAGGUUCUAAGGCAAAGAUCAGAGCCUCUUCGUUGGACUGAUCAAGUUUGGUUUAAAGGUGCCAUUCCGAGACAUGCAUUUAUGAUGUGGUUAAUGCAUCUAGACAGACUUCCAACUCGUUGUAGACUAACAAGUUGGGGGUUGCAAAUCGAUAUGAGCUGCUCCCUUUGUGGUUUAUUACCGGAGAUGAGAGAUCACAUCUCUCUUCAUUGCGAAGUUAGCGAGAGUAUUUGGUUAGAGGUUAAUAGACGUCUCGGUUAUAACCCGUUCAUAUUUCACACGUGGGACGCGUUUUCAGCUUGGUUGGAUGCGAAGGACAACAUUUCUCCUCGAUGCCUCUGUAGACUGGUUGCUCAAGCUACUCUUUAUGCAACUAAACAAUAGAUACCACAACAACAUUUCUACCGACGCUCAUAUCUUGCUCAAGCGAAUCGAUCGUCAAAUUAGAGAUGCAGUUCUGGCGAAGAAGAAGCGUAAACAUUUCAAAGACUUUAUGCAACUUUGGCUAAAGUGACUAGAGUUCUCUACUCAUAUUUCCUGUUAGUUCCUUCCUUGUUUUUCCUCUUUUUUUUGGCAAGGAAUGAUCUUCUGUGUUAAGCUUUUGUAACUUCUACAAACCUUCAUUUUAUAUGAAAUUCACAUAUUUAUCAAAAAAAAAAAAAAAAAAAACCCCACAACACCCAUCUUCUUAUCAGUCAAAAAGUCAUGCUACAAAGUGAGUAAAAAUAUCCUUCUGAUGCUUCUGUUUCCACUACUACUCCUCCAACUUCCUCGUCUCAUUCAUACCAGGCUGCUUCUACACAUGUAAUCACCUCUAUUUUUUGUGAAACUCCAGCUUUGACUUCCAAGACAAAUUGAAAAAAAUAUUGAGUUAGGUCCUGAUUCUCGACAGACUCUGCAUGUUUGGUUGUCUUGCCUAUUACAUGUAUCACCCCUGAACCGUCCUAGGACUAAGGACCAACCGAAAGCGUUAUGUUUGACCCCAUAACUGACUCGACCGAGUAACCAAAACACAUCUAGUACCAAGGUCAGUCCAUCCGCGGGUAUCGUUCCUCACGAACAACACGGCCUAAAGCUUUUCCACCCGUACAAUGUCCCCAAGUUUUGCUAGUCCAAACAAGACUAAUAUCAAACAUAAGACAAGGCUUUAUAUAGGAGUUGAGAAACCACGUACAUACCACAAAAAAUUGAAAAUCUGGUCAUCGUGGAAGAGAUCCAAACAUGAACCGAAGAAUUUUUGUAGGAAGAUCAACAAAUCUUCUCGAUUCAACAGAGUUGUUAACUAGAACAAGCAUCAAUGAAGAAUCUGAAUCCAUUGAAACAAACGCAUCAACGAAAUUGCAAACAUCGGUGGGUUAACCAAAAAACGAUUGAAUCGACGGAAUAAUCGAUCAAUCAAAGAACAAAUCUGAUUUUAAUCAGUGAAAAAAAAACGGAAAUGUGGCAAAAUCGAACUCAAAUCUUCGAAAUUGUUUGUUUGACGUCGUAAUCUUCGAACGGAAACUGUCACAUUAAAUGGAAUCAAGAUUUGUAAUGUGUUUUUGCGUCCAUGUCAACAUGUGAAAGGGUUUUUGGAGAUGAUCACUAUUUAACAAUUUUAAAGAAGGUUUGGAUCCUCAUAGAUGAUUCAAAUUUCAAACCCAAUCAAAACAAAAACAAAAUGGUUUAAGAUAAAUCUUUUCUCACGUGUCACGUCUUUUUGCUUAGUACAAAUUUCUUAAAAACACACUUGAUUAAACAUCAAAAAUGACAAAAACUAACGCAACAAUACAAAACCUAACAUAAUGAAAACAUAAAGCGACCAAACAAAAUUCAAACUAAAACUAAACUCGAACUCAAAAAGGGUACAUAAACCCAAAUGUUUGAAUCGAAACUGGGCUUAACAAUCAAUGGCUUGGGCCAACACAGAAAAAAAAAUCAGGUGUACUACUGCUUUCUCUCAUGUGAACCAUGUGAAAGUUCCUCAUAAGAUAAGGAAUGUGCAGAUCUGGCAAUGAGGUACUAGUUAGGUAAGAAUUUUCAUGCAUUUGGUGUCUAUAUUAAAGUAAUUGGCGUUUACAAUGUAUGACAUUUUCUAAAAGAAUUUUAAUUCUAAUCAAAUUUUUCAGUUUAGAAUUGAUAAAUUGUUAGUUACUAAUAUCAUGGAAAGGUUAGCACUCGAUACACAUGUUCAUAUUACUUUUUAAGAUUUAUGUUUCUUAUAUAGGUUACGAGGAAAUAGUUUAAAAUAUAUCAAUCGUAGCAAAAUUGUUAUUAUCAUCAAAUGAUUGGGUGUAUUCCAGUUUUUCAUGAUAGUGUCUUUAACUUUUCAUAUUAUUACAAUUUUUCUUUCGUAACGAAUUCAAUUUACAUUUUAAUAAUACUUUUUAUUUGUGAAAGAUAGUUACCAAUUUCGUUUGAAGUGUUUUUAAGUUUGAACACAAACAAUUGAAAAAAAACACACACACGUUUGGACUUUUAAUGGCUCAUUUGUGCAUUUUACUUUAGGUUUCCUAUUUAUUCACAAAGUAUACGAUUUAACUUCUUUUUUUUUUUUUGGCACAAACAUUUGUUUUUUCUGUCAUGCACAAAACACAUCGCAUUCCACGUUGCCACAGAUUUGUUGACUACGUUUUUUCUUUUUGCCAAUGAACAACAUUCGAUGUUAUCGUUAAGCCUAACCGUUAGUCUGUUAUACCCAAAUCUAACGAACGUGUAAGGAUCUCCAAUCAUGUUUUCUUAUAUUAAAAUUUUUCAUUUUCUAGUUUUGUAUGUUUACUACUUGGUUGCUAGAGAACGGGAUAAUAGGUAACAUCACUUUGGUUAUCAUAAAAGUCGUCGUAUUUGGUUAGUUUUGUUUGCACUAGUUCAACAGUUAGUUGAUUUAUGAUGUUUGGUCGGUCCCAGUUUCAAGAAUUAGCUGUAACAAGAAAAAAUUAUUAAACAAAAUUAAAGGUAAGAAAAGGCAUUAUUUAUGUAAUUUUUUCCGUGUCAUUUAUAAUAUACCCAAAAAAAUAAUGCUGUGGAGUUAUGGACGGCAGAGCGAGCCGACCAACUAUUGCACUCAUCAACAGUGUACCAAACCCUUACUAAAUUAUAGAAACAAAUAAAAUUAUGCUUUUAGUGGAAGAUCAACCAUAUGAUCUAGAAAACAGAUUUAGAAUUUGAUCUAUGCUCUAUAUAAUUAUUAUGCUGAUAUUUGUUUUAAUAGUUAUUCCAAAAAACAUAUUGUAAUGUAAUGUAUGAAGAGGAUUACUUACAAAAGACAACUUUUUUCAUUUGCUUAAAAAGGAUAUAUGCUUCUAAUUUAAUCUAUUGUUUAACAGUUUAAAUAGAAUUAGAAUCCUAAUUUUCAAAAUUGUUUUCAUUAUAUAUUAAUAAAUAACUCUUGUGCGGCAAAAUUUAAAUCACAGGUCAUUUUGUAUUUACAUUAUUUCUAAUAAAAUAGUUUAAUAAGAGUGAAAAUUAAGAACAAUAUUUUAUACAUUUUCCUGAAAUAUUCAAUAAAAUGUAAAUAAGUCAAAAUAUUAACUUUUAUUUUUUAGUGAUAAAACCUUUUGCUCUUAAUGAAACACAAUGAAUGAAAAUAGUAUAAAAAUAUAAAACCAAUAGUUCAUUACAAUAUCCAUAAAUCAUAACCAAGUCUGGGAAAAUCAAUGUGACUACUUGAAGUUUUGUUCCCAUAGAGUGUAACGUAUAUUACUGUAAAAAAAAAAAAAAAAAACUGUAACGUAUAUUUCAAUAUGGGUUAUAAUAUUUGUUUCCCACAUAAAUUGAAUUUUCCUACCAAAGUCGUAGAGCGCAAUUUAUAUAUAAAAUCCUUUAUUCAUAAUUUCAUAGGCUGGCGCGCAUGCUUCUCUUAGUUAAGUCAUAAGUAACACCAACAAGAAAAAUGGUACACCAAAUUCCAUCAUAUUAUUCUCACAAAGUCAAGGUUUUAGACAUUAAAUUUUUAAUUUUUAUAUCAAUAUGAUGGAAAGAAAAAAGCAUGCUUGUUGGUGUAGUGUAGGUGUGUGGAAAAAACAACACAUAUAGACAAUGUUUGAUUGGUUCGAUGUUGGCCGUAGUAUGUCCCAUCUUUUUUUCUCUUAAGAUGUGACAAUGGUGUGUUUAAUGUAAAUUUUCUUAAUUGCAUCGCUGGUUUUAAUUUUAAUUUUGAAAAGAAACACGAAUAUUUGGUGAUCAAUAUUAACCUAUACAGUAGAACUAUAGAAGUAAGACGUCUAACCACUUAAAGUAAUUAAAUCACAACUCCAAUAAUUCGUAUGGAUUUUGAAUUCUCCACAUCCAAAAUAAUGAAUUUAAAAUCAGAUACAGUAUAUCAUUCAUUAUAAAACUUUGUCAUACAUAAAUGACAUGUUUUUUAGUUUCUAUUCUAACUUUGUCAUACAUAAAUGACAUGUUUUUUAGUUUCUAUUCUUGGAGGACCUCAAAUAUACUAUAACAAGAAAAAAUGCGUUUAAAUUAACGUACAAGAAACAUUGCGUUUAUGGUACACGAUUUUAUAACAAAUUAAUAUAUGUUCGAAUGAAAAAGAGUAGACUAAAUUGUCAACUCUGUAGUCCCCACUACAAAUGAGACAUUGAUUGAGAUCCAUCGCCACCUUCUUGUCUCCUUAAAAUCUAUAUGUAAACAGUAUUAACUAUUUACUUGAUGUAAUGUAGAUUCUUUUAUAGCGAGAACUCUCCUAUUUCUGUUUGAUUUUGGGAGUGUUUGGUAUUGUAGUCCUAGAGCAUUAUUAUUCAAGGGCUUUUAAUAGUACUUUUUAAAAAUAUUUAAAUAAUAUAUUUUUUUUCACCUCUUAACAUUUUUUUUGUUCCACCUCUUAACAUUUUUUUUUGUUCCUAAACUAAGAAACACUUUUUAGUUUAAAGGCACAUUUGAAAAUAAAUAUAAUCAAUUAAAUACUAACAUAAUCUUAAGAUUUUUUUAAGAAUCUAUCGUUAAGGCUGCUUUUAGACCAUCUUUAUUGAGAGAUGCUUAACUUGGUUCUUAGCUAAAAAGAGAUUAAAAUUAAAUAUGUAAUUGAUGAUUUUGCUAAGGAAUGACUCUUAGCUAAGAACCAAAAAUUGGGCUAAGAACCAAAAUUAAGCACCUCCCAAUAAUAUUGCUCUUAUACUCUUAUAUAAUUAAUUAUUGCAGUGUUACUUGAUAUAAGUCUUGUUUGGAUUUAGUUUAGGCAAAAUAAAUUAAACAACGACUUAUUAGGAUUUCUAGGUUUGGUUUUAGUCACAAAAUAAUUAUCAGAAAUACUAUGAGUGGACAAAAGACAAAUACUCGUUAUUUUAGUGAUAAUUGAUAUUUGACAUGCUUUGUACGAAUAAUAAAAAUUAUGUUAUAAAAUUUUAUGUAUAUGUUAUAAACCCUACUUGGUUUGUUAUAUACAAGUGCUCGUAAUUUUAUGUAUUUGCUAAAAAAUUGUUUACUUGCAAAUUACCUUCCCCUUUGCCCCAUCAUAUUACUGAUCUUGUUGUAACAAUUCUUGUAGUGGAUCACUAUUUUUGUUGCUGUUACUGUUUGAAACUUUAGGGUGCAAUCGAUUGGUGAACAUCUAUCUAUAGAGUGCUUGAGAGGAGGAAUGAGAGUGAAAAAAGGUGAUAAAUAGAGUAAAACUAAUAAGUUCUUUGUAGUACUAGUACACUAGUACUUGUAUAUAGAGUUUUUUUUUUUUUUUUUCAUCCGAAAUUAAUUAAAACUCAAAAGAGCCACUCAUGAAGAAUGUUAUUUACAUAAGUGAUAUGAAGCGGUUCUGUACGAACUUUUCGUGCUAGAUUAUCCGCCUUAACAAAUUUCCUAAUACUUGUAUAUUGAGUCGAUAAUAAAUUUCCGUAGUAGUUGUAUAUUGAGUUGAUAAUAAAUUUCCUAUUUUUCUCCCCUUUCAUGCUUUUUUUUUUUACUGAAUUUUUUUAUCCACCAUUUAUUUUUACUCCAACCGACACAACUAAUCAGAUACUUCUAAUUUUUAACUAAGAAUAAAUGAAACUAUAUAUAUAUAUACAUACACACAUGUAGGUGUGUGUAUAAAAGACAAAAUGUAAAUGUUGAUUUGGUGUAUGAUAUGUCUUAUUCAUAAGUCUCAAUGAAGACAGUCCUUAAUCUACGGUUAGGUGGUGGCUGCUCACCUUCCUCUAUUCCUUUUAUUUUUCUAUCUUCUUUCACAUCCAUCUUUCUCUUUAAUUAAGACUAUCUCACACAUCUGUUUUUUUUUUUCUUAAAAGAAAUAUAUACUUUGAUCGACAGACCAAUAGUUCUAACUCUAGUUUAUGAUAAUCUAAAAAAAUUACUAGUCCAAGAAGACCAGGCCAAUUAUCUUUAGUUUGGUUACUAUCUAAUUGGAUGAUUCAUAAACUAGUGACGCGCCAUAUCCUUACAUUUCUUUAGAAUGUUAAUUUAUACAUAACAUUAAAUAAUGAAUAUUAAUUUCACAUACUAUCGUUUUCGUAUUAAGUGUUUAACAUAAUCAUAAUUGAAUUUAGUGGAGAUACUAAAACUAAGACCAAAAACACAGUAGAAAGAACAGAGGCAAAUAAAAUCAUACAAAAGGUCAACUAUAAAAAAAAAUUAAGAAAUGUAAUAUAAACUAAUUUAGUUAAUUUAUUAAAUAAGGGCUCAUACGAGAAAUAAAUUAUUUCAAAACAAUAAUCUUACGUGAUAUCAGUAAACAAAAAGUUUUUAAAUAAAUUGUAGAGAGGACAGGGAGGUAAAUAAAUAAAGGUCAAAUAUAAUUUCAAAAAAAAAGAAUUAAAGUUGUCAAAAUUGUAAUUUAAAAUUAAAUUAGGUAAAUAAAAUCAGUCCCCACAAACACAUAAAAAAACUCCAUUAAAGACCAAUAUAAGAGAGAGUACAUGAGAGUCCAAACUUCAUUCAAUUCAAGUCUCAGUUCCAAGAAUAAAAACAAAGAUUUUGUAUAUUCAUUUAAAGAGAUGAAGUCAAUCUUAGCCAACACUUCUCUCGAUUCUUCAUUCUCUCUCUCAAAACGUUACUUCAAUUGGAAGAAGAAGAAAGUUCAAGAAGACGACGACGAGGAAGAGGAAGAAGAAGAAGACGAUUACAACAAAAACGAAGAGAAAAUCUUGACCCGUUUCAAUUUCUCCUCUGACCCGACCCGACCGGAUCAAUUCAAUACUCAACACAUAAUGAAGAAAAAAAAGAAAAAGACUAUCGAAAAGAUCCGUUACGCUCUCGGGUUCUCUAACUCGGGUCUGGGUUUCCGGGUCGUGGGUACUUUAUUCGGUAACCGUCGUGGACACGUGUACUUUGCCGUUCAAGAUGACCCGACCCGUUUACCCGCGGUGUUGAUCCAGUUACCAACUCCAACGAGCGUUCUCGUCCGUGAGAUGGCUUCGGGGCUAGUGAGAAUCGCGCUCGAAACGGCGGCGUAUAAGACGGAUUCGAAGAAGAAGCUUUUAGAAGAGUCCACGUGGAGAACGUAUUGUAACGGUAAAAAAUGUGGUUACGCGGCGAGGAAAGAGUGUGGAGAAGCGGAGUGGAAGGUGUUGAAGGCGGUUGGGCCCAUAACAAUGGGUGCUGGAGUUUUACCGGCGGCGACGACGGUGGAUGAAGAAGGGAAUGGAGCGGUUGGGUCCGAAAAAGGUGAGCUCAUGUAUAUGAGAGCCCGGUUCGAGCGGGUUAUCGGGUCGAGAGAUUCGGAGGCGUUUUAUAUGAUGAAUCCUGAUGUGUCAAGUGGUGGACCUGAGCUUAGUGUGUAUUUUCUAAGGGUUUAAGUGGAAAAUGAUAAGAUUAGUAUAUGAUUAAGAAGGUAUUAUUUGACCAUUUUAAGAAUGUGUUUUGAUUUUGGGAUUUUGUCUAAAUGAUGUUCAACGUGUAAUAUUGGAAUUAUCUUAAUGAUGUUCCAAAAGAUUAGUGAUCAAAAAGUGAAUGCUUUAUUUAGAAGCAAUGUAUUAUGAUGAAUCCAUAUUUCUUUAACUUUAUCUUUGUGAUAAUAUUGGAAUUAUUAUCUUAAUGCAAUUAUGCAAAUGUGGUUUACUUUUUAACUGUUACUCUUCUUUGAGUUAGCAUUUUAGAGGAUGGCGGAACUCUAUUGAAUUCUCAUGCAUAAUGAUAAAAUCGUUAAAUAAAUUUUAUGAAAUUAGAAUAGCCAACAGGCGAAAGUGUUAGUAUAUGCUUAAACUCAUUGAUUGGAAAAAAAAAAUGUAAUAGGAUCGGCGUUUGGUAUAACUUAAUUAACGAAAAUGUAUAGAAGCUCGAACUUUCAUUAAUGACUCCCACAAACGAAGUUUAGAGACCUCAUCUAUGUCAGCAUGCAACACCAAACUUACUCUCGAGUCGAGAGUCUCCACCAUCAAGCCCCGUGUAAAUAACAGUACAAGACACUAUGAUACUAGUCGUAGUAAACAACCUAAAAAAAAAGUUUCUUGCUUAUUUGGAUUCACCCCUAAAACCUUAUUUAAAAGAAAAACUCACCCCGAAGGAUCAACAAUCGAACUUGUACCAAUGAUUGUUGAUUUUUUUUGUCCCAGAUGCAAUCUCCUUGUUUGCAAUCUCGGCAGAGUAACUCCCAUGGAUCACAUUCCUGAUCUUGUCAAUACCAAAUUCCCCACGGAUGGUUGCAUACUCGCAGUCUGAUGGUCUUGUGGGUCCAAUCAUCUCUCUCACUGUCUCCACAACAUUCUCCCCCUCCCAUAUCAUUGCAACAACAGGCCCGGACGACACAAUGUAAUCAACCAGACGCCCGAAUACGUGCUCGCCAGACAGCUCCUCGUAGUGCUUCAACACUCAUCAUCUUCAUGCCUGUACAUCCCCACUCAGUUGACUCAAUCAAAUCACUCAAGCAAGUUUGGAAUCAAUUAUACCCUUCAAAGUGAAACGCUUCUCUUCAAACCUUCUGAUAAUUUCAGGCAUCUGAAACAUAUAUGUAAUCUUUGUCAAGCAAAGCAAAGAACAACGCAAAAUAACCGAAACACAUGAGGACCAAUGGGAAACGUACUAGUCGCCUCUGGACACCGUCGGGUUUGAUCAUGACGAAAGUUUUCUCCAUUUUGGAUGCUUUCCUUCUUCUUCUUUUUUUCCGGCAUUUUCUUUGAUUAGGAGGAGGCGGCCAAUUGUUGGUCUUUCUGAUUUUUUAUAUCUCCUCCUCUCUCUCGUCUUGUCUCACCUUGGCAAGAAGCACGUUCACCCUCCCGCUUAAUACGACUUGUAAAUAUAGAUUCACUAAGAAGAGAGAUCAAAAACUUACUUAGACGACCAAAUUAACUACUUAGAUUUAUUUUAUUUAAGUGAAAAUUAACAACGAAAUUAAAGAGACCAAAAGUCAAUAUCACACUUGAGAAAACGGAAACAAAUCAUUCACCAAAUCAUAUAUGGAAAAGGAAAAAGAAAAACGAAACGAAACACAAAGCCAGGUUUUUUUUUAAAAAACUAGGGUUUUGGAUCUUCUGUUUUUGAAUCAGCCCCAAAAGUCCAAGCGUUCUCCUUGCGAAUCGCUUCUUCUUCUUCAGGUGUGAAAUCAUUCUCAAUGUUAAAGAUUGUUGAAUGAAAUAUAGAAGAGUCGAUGAAUGUGUUCCCUUUAUUUAUAGAACCCAAAGAGUCGGUCGAUUGUAUUUUCCUUUUCGCAAUUAGAAUUGGGUUUCCUAUUUUCACAAGGAAAUAAGGAAAAUAAACGCAAAUCCUAAUUUAACAAGGGUUUAAUGAAAGAUAUAUUUCUAGAAACUUUUUUAGCAAUUGGUAAAAAACAAUACUCCUGUUUUUUAUUUAUUUUUGAAUGAAUGUAAAAUUUAUUCAACCAAAAAAACGUUUUUACAAUGAAUGCAAUCUUUAAUCGAAAGUUAUUUUGAAAGGAAUUAAAAGGAAUAAUAGAAUGUUAGUCUCUGGACUCAAACCUGUUUGUUUCUUAUUUAAGCAGAGAAAAAAGUGUUUUAUAAACGUGGAAAUUUUGUAUUUUCGAUGCAAAUUAUUUAAAGUAUUUUUUUUUCUAUAGAGACAAUCUAACAAGUUUAUUGUAUAAAAUUCUAUCAAAUCUUCCAGUGUUGCUGCUCUCUAACAAAGCGCUCUGCACAAGUUCCUGCAACAUCCUCACACAUUCUUUAAUUCAAUUCACAAAUUCUAUUUUUUUAAGAAAAGAAUGAUGACAAAACUUAGAGAAGAAAUCUAUUUUUUGCCUAGACUUCACGGUGAGAUAGAAACUUUCCCAGGCUAUAUAGCUUGGUUAUUCUCCACUCCAUCAAAAUUGUUUUAAUUUUUUUAUUUGUGUCAAUGGUUGUAUUUGGAACUUUUUUGUACUUUGUAAACUUCUGAUGAUAUAAUAGAUUUGAUUUGCCAAAAAAAAAAAACUUUCCAAGGAUGUGAAUGGUUACUCUCAUAUCUUCAACCUCUCAGAAAAAUACAAAACAGUACUUCAAAUUCAUUCUCAAGAGACUAUGAGAUGACUUUUUUUUUUUUUUUUUUCCUGAAUACUAGGAGGUUCUGAGGCAAAAUCCAUAAUCUCUCUAAACCCGAAACCACAAUAGAUGACUUAUUAUGUCCAAGACAAAUUAGUCUCCGUGUUUGCUUGUCCUUUAUGCAUACUUCGUUAGCAUCAAACUAAUCCUUUACUCCUCGAAUACAAUGGGAUUUUACACCUGGCGAAUCUUUAACUCUACCUCCUCUUAUUACCCUAACAUAGCAUGAGGCAAACAAACAAAGAUCAGCCCCACAAACAAGUGUACUUCGCCGUACAAGAUGACCUGACCCGUUUAUCCGCGGUGUUGAUCCAGUUACCAACUCCAACGAGCGUGUCGGUGAGAUGGCUUCGGGGCUAGUGAGAAUCGCGCUCGAAAUGGCGGCAUUUAAGACGGAUUCGAAGAAGAAGCGUCCACGUGGAGAACGUAUUGUAACGGUAAAAAAUGUGGUUAUGCGGCGAGGAAAGAGUGUCGAGAAGCGGAGUGGAAGGUGUUGAAGGCGGUUGGGCCCAUAAGAAUGGGUGUUGGAGGUUUACCGGUGGCAACGACGGUGGAUGAAGAAGGGAAUGGAGCGGUUGGGUCCGGAAAAGGUGAGCUCAUGUAUAUGAGAGCCCGGUUCGAGCGGGUUAUCGGGUCGAGAGACUUGGAGGCGUUUUAUAUCAUGAAUCCUGAUGUGUCAAGUGGUGGACCUAAGCAUAGUGUGUAUUUUCUAAGGGUUUAAGGGGACAAAAAAUUAAGAUUAGUAGUAAUAUGAUUAAGAAGGUAAUAUUUGAUCGUUUUAAAAAUGUGUUUCGAUUUUGGCCUUUUGUUUAAAUGAUGUUCAACGUGUAAUAUUGGAAUUAUCUUUAACGAUGUUCCAAAAGAUUAGUGAUCAAAAAGUGAAAUUGUUAUCUAGAAGCAAUGUAUUAUAUGAUGAAUCCUUUUUUUGUUGAUGUCUUGAAGCUGUGAUGUUUGCUUUGUUUCAUUGACGAAUAGAGGCGGCGGUUUGGUCUAGGUGGCUUCGUUAUCAUGUGGGAGAUGUUCAUGUAGCUUGCGAUAGGGAUGGUGGCUGGAGGCCGCUUUUCUGGCUGCCUGUAGAUGCUCCUGUGCCGCCAGGUGUGUGACUAAGUCUACUACAACCAUCCUGUUUUUGUGUUAGUCUUCAGAGAAGAUGUAGACGCCCUAUCUUGAGGUUUGAGGAUGGGUCUAAUAAGGUUGGGAUUGCUCGUGACAACAACGAUGAGGAUUCAAGUUUUUUGGAGCUGAAGAAAUCACCGAGCUUUGCGGUUUGGAAUCGGUGUUUUUUACUGGGACUCUACUCGUUGGGUUUUCGCUUGUGCUUCCUUGUUGUUUUUGUUGUGUUGUGUUGUAGUUUUGUUUUUUUCUUUAGCUUUCGGUCUUUUCUGGCUAUUUGUAUAUUUAUGUAAUUUUUGUCAAAAACUUGCGAAAAUGGUAUAAAUACGUAAUAUUGAUACCAAAAAAAUACUUAAAAUGUGUUUUUUUUCCGUCAUACAUAACAUGUGUUACUAAUACUAUUUUUAGUAGAAAAUAAAAUGUAAAAAGUAUAUUAGUUUUAUUGUUUUAAAAAUAUUAUAUGCCCCAGUAUUAAUGUUUGAACUUUGAAGGGUUUUGUAGCCGAUUUGAACCCUACGACCGGUAUAAACGUCGAUGAUGACCCGACGGCUGGGUAUAAAGCCGAUAAACUUUUUCAGACUUAUUUGCUAUAUUUAAGUUGAAUGACCUGUGUUACUAUUGGGAGAACCGGAGAUCGACCGAGAUCGACGGUUGAGAUGAUCGCCCAAGAUUAUGGAAAUCAUGAAGGAUCUAGAAGUUAUCUUAUCUUAAGUUUAGGAAGUUUAACAUUAUCUCUAAAUAUAUUAUUUACAAUUUAUAUUUAUCUUAGAUUAGGAAAUCUCAUCUCUAUAUAAGAGAAUGUAUUUUGUACAAUAAUUCUCAUGAGAGUCUAUUAUAAUUCUUUCUAAACACUUUUGUGUUCUUUACUCUCAUCAAUUUAUCCUAAUAGUAUGCACUGAAGUGUAAACAAGUUUAUUUUUUUCUUGAAUAUAAUUUAACAUUAAAUUCAAAAAAAUAAAUACAACUUUAAGAAUCUUUCUAAAUACAAUUUCAUAAUUGUCAAAAAAAAUCAAAGCAAAUUCUAAGAGAUUGAAAGUAAACCAAAAGAUAAAAUUCAGUUAGUGUUUGAGAUUAUUCACCACAGAAUUAUGCCUCACGGAAGGUCCCGAAGGUGGUACAAGUACUCUUUUUGAAAAUAAAUGGAACACACGACCUUUGAAUCUAAAACCCCCAAUGAUCUCUUCUUGUCUUGAUCUUGUUUGAACUAGUGUCGUUUCAGAAAGCUUAAUCGGUCCGAUCAUCCUUGCCGUGGCGUUGUAUGAACCAAAAACCAAGAGGAAAACAAUAUAAAGAGUCAUAAACAUGGUUUUAUGAGAAAGAUUCAUAUAAUGUUCGGAGAAAGAAGAAGAAUAAGGAGGAGACAUUAAUUUAGCUACUAGCUAGGGUUUUUAUAAAUUUUGGAUUUUAAGAAGGCGGUUUAAGUUUUGAGAUGUAUAUAUAUGCGUAUAUAUAAACCUAUAUAUAUAUAUAUAUUUAUGUGCAUGAUUUAUGUAUCAUGUAUGAAAGUAUGCACAUUCUUGUAUGAGUAAAUUGGUCAAACAAGAAAAGCAAAAGAAAAAUAGAGAAGUGAAGCGCAAGUAAUGGAAUUUUAGUAUUUUGUGAUAAUAUUUAAGGUCAACGAUACUACGAUAGUGAAUAAAAAAACAACAAAUGAAUAUUUAUUAAACUUGAAAUGCCGCGUUGGACUUUACGUGGGACGAUGGUGUACGUGUGAAUGUGUGAUUAUCACGAGUUGUCUGUCAAAAUUUAAUCAUCAAACAUUAUUAUUAUUAUAUUGUAAAAUUUAAUUUAAUUAUCAAUUAUAUGUGUAAUAUCCAAAUUUUUGUAAGAGAAUCACGUUGUUAUAUGUAGACUUUGUAUAUUAUAUACACAUUAUAAUGUGUGAACAAACGAACAAUACGUGAUUUUUUAGUCCAAAGUUAGGUGCCAAUGACUAUCAAAUCAUUUGCGUCUUCGAUUUUGAAAGAAAAGUAAAUUCUAUUUUCCUUUCUUAAUUUCUUGUAUACAAGCUUUGUAAUCAUCUCUUGAGAAAGGCUUACGUAAAUAGUUUUAAGUUAAUCACCAUAGGCCACAAACUGUUACAAGUUUUUUUUUAAGAUAUUAUUUCCGUUAUUAGGGGUCACCGGUCACCAAACAAUUAAUUUAUCAUAUUAAUUAAAUUAUUCACCUGCAAAUUAUUUGUGGCACCUAAUAUUUAAAUUAUUUAUCAGCACAUAAUUUUGUUCUGUUAUAACAACUAACAUUUCGUCCAACAAAAGUGCUUUUUCAUAGGUUAGUGUACAUAAUUGUAUUAGUAUACAUUAAUACGAGUAUAUAUAUGACAGGUGACAACUUUCACGUAGUAGACGAAAAUGUCAAACUUUGCACACGCAUGAUACGUUGGAUAUUGAUCGUCGACUCGAGACAGAUAUUCGUCUGGACCACUAGAUUACGAGAUUUUAAUAUGUUUGCAUAAUUCUAGGCAAUAGCAUAUGAUUUCUUCAGAAUUAUUCUAGAAAAUUAAAGUGGUCUAUACUUAUACUCCAGCUCCAUUUUUAAAAGUGCCAAUAAUCUAUUUGAAACGUGUAAUGCUUUUGACCAUUUAUUAAGAUUUGUGUUGGUUCAAGUGGACAAUUUUUUUAGUUUAUUUACUCAAGAUUUAUAACAAAAAUAUACAUAUUUUAAAAUUGUGUUAAUCAAUCAUGAUACAACCAUAAUACUCAACAAUAAUAAAGUGCAUGAAUGCAAUGGUAAGGACUUCUUUUCAGAGAUGAUACAAUUUUUUUAGUUUAUUCAUUGAAGAUUUAUAACACAAUAUACAUAUUUAAAAUUUGAACCAUAAUAUUCAACAAUAAUCAAAUGCAUGAAUGCAAUGGCAAGGACUUCUUUUCAGUUGAUUUUCUCCAGAUUUAUAUAACCAAAAAUAUACACAUUACAAAAUGAGUAAUUUGCUGUAUAUAAUUAAUUUACCGAAAAAAUACAGUGAAAUUUUCGUAUAUAAAAGGUUUUUUAUUUUAUUACGCAUGAUUUUUUCUAAAGAGUGUGUCAAAGAAUAAAAUAACAUAAAAUAUUUCAAAAUCAAGUAUAAAAAUCUACACUAUUUUGAAAAAUCACAAACGAAUAUGAAUAAGAAUAUUUACCAAAAUAGCAUCCAGCGAUUUUGCAUUAAAAAAAAAAAAACCAUGCUCAUUUAGUGGUGGUAUCAUUAUUAAAAAUGUGUUAAUCAAUCAUGAUAUCUCUAUAUUAGCAAAAGAGAAGUACACAUGAGAAAAUGGGCUGCCUAUAGCGUUAUACCUAUACUAUAGCGUUUCAAUUCCUAUCCACCUGUACUUUCGACCUCUGCCCAAUUCACCCUAUACUUGUUUUAAACUUCAUAAUUCCACCUAAACUAUUAAAUUCUCCAUAAUUAACCAAAAUCAAGAAUUUUCUAUAAUUGCGAUUAAAAAUCGUUCAAAUUGCAGUAAAAAAUCUGUGUUUAUAUUAAUCUGAAGUUGACCCGACAAAACAAAUGAACACGAGUCAAACCCUUAUGGUGAAAGAAGUCUUCGAAGUUGGUCGGAUCUGACUCGGGUUGGCCUACAGUAAACGCGAUUUGAACGAUUUUUAAUCGCAAUUAUAGAGAAUUCUUGAUUUUGGUUAAUUAUGGAGAAUUUAAUAGUUUAGGUGGAAUUAGGAAGUUUAAAAUAAGUAUAGGGUGAAUUAGACAGAAGUCGAAAGUACAGGUGGAUAGGAAUUGAAACGCUAUAGUAUAGGUGUAACGCUAUAGACAGCUCUGAGAAAAUUGACCUUCAGUUUUUCGUAGUAAUUACUUCAAAUGCCAUUUUGAGGAAAUUAGUACUAAUUAUUUCAUUAAGGGUAGAUUAGGGUUAAAUUAGUCAAAGAGAAACGGGUUGGUGCAAUUAAAUUGACCCAUAUGCAUAUGCACUCGGAUCUUAUAAUUUCCAUAUAAUCUAAAAAUCUCAUUAAACAAUUUUUUUUUAUAACUUUAAUUCAAAAACGAUUACUCUAACCUAAUAUAUUUACAUUAACUAUUUUGAUACUAUAUAUUGUUAAGAUUUCUCCUCUCACCUUUGUUUAAUCCUACUUUUAUAAACAUUUAAACCAUUCCAUAAUCAAUAUAUUAAUUAAAAUUUUAAAAUUUCUUUCACACAUACUAUGAUUUAAAUUAUUAAAAACAGACAUAAAUUACUCAAUCGAUGAAUAAAAAAUAAGUAUAUCAAAACAACGGACCUAAUAUCGUUAUUCGACUAUACUAUAUCAAUCUGCUAUGUUACAUAUGAUACUCCAAAACAACCAAACUAAAACAGAUUUGACACUCCUAAAUAAAUUGUUAUAUUUAAAAAAAAAUGUUUAAAAAAUAUACGCAUCACACCAUUAUGUCCUAAGCUAAAUUAGUGUAUUAUGGAUAUCAAGACGGGAAAAUAACGGAUACGGAACAAAAACGGAUAAUUCGGGUAAUAAUAAAAUUUAUACAAACUAUUUUAGAUAACGAGACAAAAUCGGCAAAUUAUAGUAGUUAAAUUUAAUUUCCAGCUCUGAAUAAUUUGGGUAUGGGUCGACUUUGCCUCCGCCUCGUGGAAAAAUAUCAUAAAAUCCGAUAUAGUUAGCCUACAGCUUUAUGCCCUAAAUUUUUCAAGGUCCCUUCUCUCCGCCGGCUGAUAGCCCCAUCGACAGUAAACGAUGUACUAGACCAACGAAAUAACGUCGGUGUGGUGGGACGUGAACAGCUCUCCGGUUCCAAAUGGGUAUGAUGCUGGUCUGGUCGGUCCGUGUAUCAAAAAGAUGUUGGUGGAUUUAGGCCAUAUUGGUCCAGUCACCAUCACUGCCACUGGCGACUUUAGAGGUACCCCUGAAAGACGUCCUGCGAGCUCUCUCUUCCUCUGGAAUCAUUAUUAAAAACGUCGGCAACGAUUAGUUAAAUCUUCUUCUCUCUUUUCUAUAAUUGUAUUACAAGUUAGGGUUUUUGCUAUUGAGUUAUAUCUUUCUAUAAUUGUAGUACAAGUUAGGGUUUUGCUAUAUUGAGUUGCUUCAUUUUUCUUGAACAGGUCCCAAAUUAAGACCUUUUUACGUACUUUCUAUCUUGGACAAUAGAUAAUCCAGCUCCGGCUACAGUAAUGAUCAUUGCCCAUUACCAAGAUUUAACUUACAUGGAUCGCAGUCUCCAAUCGUUAAAGAAGGAAGGGUACACCUUUGUCAAGGUAUAUGCUCACCCUAUUGCCACUUGCACUGUUUCAGGCCCUUUAGGGUUAUACUGGGGAAAGGUACUUUCAGGGUCUUUGGAUAAUAAACCGGAGGCAAGAAGACAGUUUCUCCUGGAGAAGUGCAGUGAAACGAGUGAAACAAAGGAUGAAUCUGCCUGUUUUUUUUGCUUACUAUGCCAUUUUUCCGGCAAAAGCGCUGAAAGUUUCACUGCUCAUCUCUCUAGUGAAGAACAUGCACAGGAAGUAAGCAUCCUCUCUUCUUAUAUCAAUAUAUUUUGUCUACUAUCAAAUAAUUGGAUAAAUGAAUGAUCAUUUCUAAGUGGUUUGAAUUAAAAAAUUAACUGUGCAUUUAAGUGUAGACAUGUCAUUCUCACGAGUAGAAGCAGUUGCACAUAUUGAAUUAGUUAACACACUUUUCCAUCUCAAAAUGGUAAAAUUUUAGAUUCAUCUUUUAUUCAUCCAAUCCAAGUGUAUAAUUCAUUACAUUGGUCCAUUUGAUUCAACAGCCUCUUGUCGAUACCUAAUUUGACCCCAUGUUAUCCUUUGCCCACUGGUCUCAAGCAGGAGUUAGCUAAUGUUUCUGUGGGUUUACCCAAAGGCAUGAAGAUGAUUGGAGGCCGAGCUGUUCAGGCUUCUCUUGAUUCUCAUCGAAAGAAUGUUGGAGAUACAAUCCAAGUCCCACAUCGGAAGUUUGAUGGGACAAUCAAUAAUAUAUAAAGGGUUAGGGCCAAUCCACUAAUUGCCAAUUGGUUUUUAGUUGGAAGCCCAUAAUUAGCCCAAAUUUAACAUGGUAUCAAAGCCCAAAGUUCAAAUUCUGGUGGACCUAGAAAAGUGGAUACGGACAUACCUCAAACCCGAGUAAUGGGGGCCCGAGAAAGGGGCUUAUUAUCGGUCCGAGUGAGGGAUCGAGGAGGUGUGUUAAGAUCCAUGUGGUCCUUGGAUUGAAGAGGAGAUUGUUGGAGAUACAAUCCAAGUCCCACAUCGGAAGUUUGAUGGGACAAUCAAUAAUAUAUAAAGGGUUAGGGCCAAUCCACUAAUUGCCAAUUGGUUUUUAGUUAGAAGCCCAUAAUUAGCCCAAAUUUAACAAAGAAUGCUACUUAUUCCAUUGUGAAAGAGCGACCAAAGUCUUUAAAGUUGAUGCUAAGAAUUAAAAUGAAGAAAAAGAUGAAGAAGACGAAGAAGAAGUUGAAGAAGAGGAGUACCAAAUGAGCACACAGAGACCACGAAGGAGAAGAGAAGGAGAAGAGGAGUACGUACGUACGUGUCCCAUGGGAUGUUUAAUGUUUUGUUCUACUUGUAGCGGUUGGGUUAUAAUAUUGCAAGAACAUAAAUAUAUAAACUGCUAAACUAUAUUGAGCAUCUACAUUUAUAUUAUAAAAGAAUUGAGUGAAAUUACAAUAUUGAUAAUUCAUUACUUCAAAACCAAGCAUGAAAAUAAAUGCAAAAUAGAGCCUUGAUAAAUUUCCAUGGUUAGGGUACAUUGGCUAACAAUGGAGGAACAAAGCUUGAUCCUUUAAGAGUCUGCUCAAAUAUGUGACCCACUUUCAGCAAUUUCUCCUAAAACCAAUCAACAAAUCAUCAUUUGAAGCUUAAUCUAAUCUUUAGAAUAAGCGAAGAGUUUAUAUAACAAACCUCAUCAAACGCUGCACCGAUCAUUUGAAGACCAACAGGAAGACCCGAGGGACCGCCUUCGACUAAUCCACACGGUAAUACCAUAGCAGGAAGCCCUGCAAGAUUCACAUUGACCUGCAACAAACCUCAUAUGAUACAAACUAUUUGUUUCGUGUAACGACGAUUAUAGAGAGAAUGAAACUAAGAAACAUUUAUACCGUCAUAAUGUCUCCAGCAUACAUUGCCAGUGGAUCAUCUUUCUUUUCACCAAUCUUGUAUGCAGCAGAUGGAGCUGCCGGAGAAAUAAGAAUAUCGUUCUGUUCUAACGCUGCUUUGAAGUCUUUUCGAAUUAGUGUUCUCACCUAUAUGACAAACAAAAGAAAAGUAUAUAUAUUUAUCGAUCAUAAAUAUCUAGUGACUGCAUUUGAAGAUGCGGCUUACCUGUUGAGCUCGCUUGUAGUAAGCAUCGUAGUAACCCGCAGAGAGUGCAUAUGUCCCCAUUAAAAUUCUCAUUUUCACCUUAGGAAAUCAAAAUUCUCUCUGAUCAUAAUCAAACACUUGUUGAUUAAAUCAGAUGGAGUAAUUUCUGAAAUCAUACCUCUCCUCCAAAUCCUUCUCCACGGGAACAUUCAUACAGCUUAUUGAGUUCUUCAGCCAUAACUUGAUUUCCAUAUCUUCAUUUCCAAUACAAGAAACAAUAUCAUUUUAUACAUGCCUGAUGCAAUCAUAUUGUGAGUCAAGUCGUAAUACCGAGAUUACCUGACACCAUCAUAACGUGAUAAAUUCGAAGAUGACUCCGAUGAGGCAAUAACGUAGUAAGCUGGCAGUCCAAGAGAGAAUGAAGGAAGGGAGACCUGUAAAUUUUGGCAACAAAUCUCAGAAACUUAAAGAACAAACAAAACGAAAAAGAAAAACCGAGACAAAGGAAUUAAUGAAAAAAACCUCUGUCAAUACACAACCCAAUGCUUCUAAGUGAGACGCAGCUUCCUGAGUAGCAGAUCUCACUCCAGAAUCAACACCGUCUUCGAGUGUCUCGCGAAUUAUACCAACUUUCACUCCAUUCAAUGGUUUAGACUCAAAAUGAUCCAUAGAUAGAAACUGAGAUUGGAACUCAGGCACAUCCUGAACAAAGAAAAUAUGUUUCUGUUGCAAAGAAAAGAUCUUUCGCUCAUUACAAUGCAGGAAACCAACUACAACAAGAGACCUUACUUGUUUGCUACUUGUGGAGUCAAACCUAUCAUACCCAGAAAUAGCAUGAAGAAGCAUCCCAGCAUCAGCAACCGUAGACCCAAAACACCCAAUCACAUCCAACGAAGACGCAUAAGCCAUAAGUCCAAACCUAGAAACACGCCCAUAAGUCGGCUUAAGACCAACAACACCACAGAACGAAGCUGGCUGUCUCACACUUCCGCCAGUAUCACUACCAAGCGACACCAUACACUGUCUUGCUGCAACAGCUGCUGCUGAUCCUCCCGAUGAACCUCCCGGUACACGACUCAAAUCCCACGGAUUCACAGUUACCUUUAAACCAAAACCAAACCCCAAGAUUCAAUCCCUAAACCAUCACAAGCUCCCCAAUAAGACCAUCUUCAUCUAUCCAAACAUAAAGGCUCCAACUUUAUUAACAUUCCUGAAUCAUUCAAUCCUAAACCAUCACAAGCUUAGCUUCCCCAAUAACACCAUCUCCAUCUAUCCAAACAUAAAGGCUCCAACUUUAUUAACAUUGCUGAAUCAUUCAAUCCUAAACCAUCACAAGCUUCCCUAACAACACCAUAUUCAUCUAUCUAAACAUAAAGGCUCCAACUUUGUAAACAAUCAUCACAAGAUUCAUAAGACAAACCUGAAAAGCAGAAGCUUCAGUGGUACUUCCCAUUCCAAAUUCAUCCAUAUUAGUCUUACCAACAACAAUCCCACCCAACUCUUUAAUCUUCCUAACCGCUGUAGCAUCGAACGGAGGACGAUAAUGCUCCAAGAUUCUCGAGGCGGCGGUAGAAGGCAUACCUUGAGUACAAAUAUUAUCCUUAACGCCGAUCAAAACUCCGGCGAGAGGACCCAAUUCUUCACCUUUAGCGAUUCGUUGAUCAAUCUCUUGAGCAUCUUUGAGAACAUUCUCCGAUACGUGAAGGAAGCAUUUGAGCUGAGGUUCAGUGAGACGGAUACGAGAAAGGUAAGAUUUUGCGAUUUCGACAGCUGUGGUUUCGCCGGAGAGAAGAGAACGACGAGUGGUGAGAAUCUGAGAUUGUGGAGGAGAGAUAACGGAGGUCGUCGAAGAAGCUGCAGAUACAAUGGUUUUGGAGUUUCGAAAUCGGCGGAGAGGGAGGAGAGAUAGAGAACGCGGCGGUUGCAAUGUCGAUAACAUUGCUUCACACAAAUCAAAGUUUUGAUUUUGAAUCACUGAAUCAUCAAAUUGGGGAGAUACUGAGGUUAAAAUUGAAAUUGGGUACUCGAGUUAUAAGUUAAAGAAGGAAGAAUUCUCCGGUGUAACGCCGGAGAAAAUGUUUCGGCGGCGGCUGUUUGAGGAAGGAGAAUAAGACUUUUUUCAGUGUUUACUAAUCUGUUCAAAAAAUGGAGAGAGGAUUUAUUAGUGGGCCGAAGUUAAAUGGGUAUAUAGUUUAAAGCCCAAUAAAAGUUUUUUUUAAUCGUUAAAGCCCAAUAAAAGUUAAGGUUGCGAGAUGGUGUACAAGUAGAACAAGUGUGUUAUGAGUUAAGAAUCUUUGAUAUAUACCGGCUGCGAUUUUGGGAUGUUGUUCGUUUAACAAUCGAGUCGCUGCGACUAAUCAUUAUUUAAAAAGUCAUAUCGCUAAUUUUUUUUGCGAUUAAAAAUAUCAGUCGCAAGUCGUAGCGAUUCUGCGACUGCUAAACGAACAACUUUCAGUCAAAGAACAGCACCAUAUUCUUUGCUAUGCUCUUGAUCGAACUACCCAAUCAAUGUUAUUCGUAUGACGUAAAAAUUGAAAAUUAUUUUAAAAUAUGACGAAAUUAUGUCAAAAUUUAUCAUCAUUGGUUAAUUGUACUUUCCUUUGUUGACAUGUUUUUAGACAUGUAGUAUUAGUCAUUAGACAUGUUUUAAGGAUGUGACACUAAACAAAAGAGCUCGAUAUAAUAAUUUGCAAAUGGGGUAAAUAAACAAAAUCAAUCAAAUCAAGACGAUAAAGUGUCAAAAACUUGUACGGAAAUUAAUAAUUACAUUAGCUAUAUACUAUAAAUUACUUAUAUAAGAAAAAAAAAAAGUGAAAAAAGAGCCAAGAAAUAAGGACUGCAGGAACAUUCAACUCUUGGCCAGAAGGUUGAGUUAAUAAAUUGUUCAAGAAAACCAAACUCAUUACUAACUUUACUAUUUAAUCCGUACGGCUCAUUGUAACUUGCAAGAAUCAUUUAUUAAAUAUCAUCAUUGUUUUCAAUUCCAAGAACAUCUCAUUGGAUUCAUUUAACUGAUUAAAAGGAAAAUAUAAGUCUCUUUUUAAUUUUGAUUCACAAGUUUGUGGAUAAGAUAGUAAGAAAAUAUGAAAAGAAUAAAAGAUACUCUCUCCGUUUCACAAAGAAUGUUGUUUUAAGAUUUUAUUUUUGUUUCACAAAGAGUGUCGUUUUAGGUUUUGAAUGCAAAAUUUAAUGAUUUUUAUGUUUUAUGACUAUUAGUAUUCUGCAUAUUGUUUUAUUAUUGGGCAAAUUAUGUUUAGAUAUAUAGUUAAUGAUGUUUUUGUUUAGAAAAAAUAAAAAAUUUAAUGUUUUCUUAAUCUGUGUGCAAAACUCUAAAAUGACACUCUUUGUGAAACAGAAGGAGUUUAUAUAUGCUUAUAAUUAAACAGAGGGAGUAAGAAACUAAAAAUGAAAAUAUUUAUAUAUUAAAUUUUUAGAAGGAUAUUUAACUCAAUAUAAUUAAGAAAUUUUGAAGAAAAGCUUAUAAUUAUUCUGUUAUUCCUAUUUAACGUAGAGAAAAAGAGAGUUUUGGAGAAUUGAUUUUCUUAGUAUCUCUAUACUAUUAAAAGAGAAGUACAAAUGAAAAUGGGUCGGGUUAAAAUCAGAAAAUUGACCCGAAAUUAUGAAAUCGGAUCUUUGAAAUUUUUUUGGAAUAUAAAUUCGAAUUAAUAAUGAAAAAUCGAAAUAAAAUAAAAUAUUUAUGGAAAUCAAAUAAAAUCUAAUUGUACUUAUGGUAACUAAUAAUAAAAGCAUAUUCCAAACAAUAAUAUACAUUAAUUACGUAUAAUAAAUUUGUUCAUAUAUUUUUAGGACUAAUUCCAUACAAUCAACGUUUUUGUCAUUAAUUUCGCUCAUUUUAGUCAAUUAUCAUUAAUUGAAAGAUAUUUUACUUGCUUCUAAAGAUUUCUAGAAAAUUUAUCACAAAUAACCCCUGUUCUAAAAAUCCCCGCCUAGAUCCGAUUACUCCCCGCUUAAUCGCUAGGCCCACCCUAUCCGCCUCGAUCAAUGACUAAUCCCUUAAAGAAAUCAGUCACCCGAUUACUCUCCGCCUAAUCCGAUUACUUCCCGCAUAAUCCGAUUAUUUUCCGCCUAAUCUUAUAUACCCCGAUUAUUUUAGAUUACUAGUAUAAAAAAAACUUUUUAUUUUUGUUAUUCAAUCAUUUGAAUUGGGAGUUUGUAAUGUUUUACAAUAACUUAUGUUCAAAUUUUAAUAAAAAUCAUAAAUUUGAAAUAAAAAUCAUAAAAAUUUGUCUCAAAAAUACAUUUUUAUGUGUUUACUGCAAUUUUGAAAAUAAUAUUAGAUUAAUAUGUUUUAAAAAUAUUAAAAUAACCCUAAAACUAAUCCCCGAUUUUAAUCAGAUUUUCCGAUUAAUCGCUAGGCCCAUGCCGAACGCCCGACUAGCGCCUAGCGAUUUUUUAAACAAGGCAAAUAACCCAUCUGUUUUAUAAAUUAAAUUGAUAUUUUUAUUUUGUUCGUGUAAAUUAAAUAGAUAUUUUUAUUUUGGUCGUGUAAAUUAAAUAGAUAUGAAAUCCAUGUAACUAAUUUUAAUUUAAUUAGAUUAAAUCGAAAUUAUGAUAUUUUCAUACCUAUAACUUACCAAAGAAGUUUAAUUUUCAAUUUAUAAAGAUUUCUUGAAUAUGAUUUUAGAAUUAUUCAACAAGAUGAUAAGUAUUUAUUAAAUUUUGUGAAUCAUGAAAAAUAAUAAUUAAUUUUUAAUCAUUAUACUUCAUCUUUCAAUCUCUCAUCUAGAUACAUAUUCUAUUAUUACUAUGUCCAAACUUCAUUUUGUUGUAUAACUAUAUAAUAUUUCCAUUAGAACUGUCAAAGCGAGUUGAUUCGUCCCGUUAAGUCCGUUUUGCGAUAGACAAAAAAUAUUUUGACUUGUAGUUAGUCGGUCCGCACGACCCGCGGGUAGCAUAUAUGAAAUACAAACUCGUCCCGCGAAUGUAUGCGGAUUUGCGGGAUUGUCCAUGGAUUUUGUUUAAAUAAUUUUAAAGUAACCAAAAUUUAAAAUACUACUAAAAUAAAUAAAUAAAUCAAAAUACUAUUAAAAGUUUGUUUAAAUUACCACAUGUGGAAUAAAUUAUAAUUUUAUCAAUAAAUACUAAUAUGCGGGCUGAUCCGCCAACCCACGGAUGAAAACUGAUUAAACCUAUGACCCACUGCGAAUUAAUCCAUGUGGCCCGCUUAUUUGCGGGUUUAAUAUAUUUUCCCAAAUCUGCCCCAUAGUGAGAUGAUGUGGGCUGGACCCGCGGUUUUUGACCUAUUUUGACUGCUCUAAUUCUCAUGAAUCGUCUAAUUUUAGAAUUUUAAAACACAAAAUUCUAUUUUGUAAAUCAUAAUUAUUACGAUGGGUAUAUUUAUAAACAAUUUUACAUUUUCUCUACAAUUCGUUAUUAUGAAUAUUUAUAAGUAUACUACACGAUUCGUUCUACUAAAAAACACACACAAUAUUAAACGCAACAUAUGUAAACCAAUAUUCUUCCGCGGUAGACCGCGGGUCCGUUUAAGUCAAUAUAACUCCGUAAAAGAUUACUAAUUGGAAAAAGAAAAAACUUGUCAAACAUAAUUCAGACACGAAUUAGAUAUCUUUUUGUCUACAAACAAAAUUCGAUAUCUAAUGUCGCUAAAAUCUUUUACAUAAAAUCAAAACUUGUUGCAACCGAGUUAUAAAACAACAAAACAAUUAUUUUUGCUUUUGUCUUGGUAGUAAAUACAGUGAAAAGUACAUAAGCCGUCACCUAUGAACAACUAAUAAUGACUUACGGAGUUAUGGAGACAGAGCGUCAGAGCCUAUGAAAGCAACAAAAGAAAGAGAAAAAAUAGCUAUAAAUGAUCGUAAAAAGCUAACUGCGAACCUAAAAACAAAAAGUAAAAAUGUAAAAGAAGAUUUUUUCAGUCUAUACUAAAAAGUAAAAGCCCCUAACUGUCUUAUCUUUAAUUGAACAUCUCAGUAUCUACUUUUAAAAUUCAUAAAACAAAAAUUAUUUAUAAAAAGAAAUUGAAAAAAAUAGAAGAGUCAUUAAAUUCUCUAUACGAAGUCAGAAAAUUCCAGGCAGUACAAGGCUUUGUUUGGUUUGGUUUGUAUUGUCUGUUUGAAACCAAUGACAGAGCCUGAGACACCAAAGUUAGCUAUCUUUGGAUAUAUGCUUAAAUGCUUUGCAUGUUUAUAGAAAGCAUUUCACAUUUAUAGUCACAACCAUAUGUUUAAAACCUAAACUUAUACUAUAGAGUUUAGUUUACACUUUAUACGAUUAAAAUGCCAAUUUAGGAUCGUCAAAACAUUUAGCACAAUUUAUCGUGGUCAUGUAACGUAAUAUCUAUACUUGUUACUUCAAUAGAAAAGCCUUAAGUCUUGUUUUUUUUUUUUGUUCAAAGCCUUAAGUCUUGUUUAUUACUAUAAGUUUGGUGGUUGAACAAAAAAAAACUUUUAAAAAAACAAUAUUGAACAAAUUAACAAGAAAAAUCAUUGGAGUUCCUAAAAUUUAUUUGUUUCUCUCUAUCCGAAAUAUGUUAGUUAUAAAAGUAAAUUACAUUACAAACAUAUACAAAUUUUUAGAUUAAGACAGAUGGAGAAGAAACCAGACUUGUUACAUCCAAAAGGAUUUGAUUUUCUUCUUUUUAAGCAAACACCGACAUCAAAAUCUAUCAACCAACACAUCAAUACUAUUAACCAUCACACAAAAAGUUAACAAACUAACAAAUUCAAUAAUAAUAUAAGAGAAAGCUCCAAAAGCAAAUUCCACAUGAACCCAUUUGACAACAACACGUGUCUAGUAACCAUCACACCCAUUGAUGAACUUGACUCAUCCUCCUCCUUAAGGUUGCUCCACGUUUGUUUAAUUACCGAACUACCCUCUGUCUUCUCCAUCAUGCAAGACUUCAAUCCAACAACAUAUUGCUGAGCUUCUGACACGACAUGCUGACAAAGAUUUGGAUUCUUUGAAGCCUUAAAUCUUGUUCCCAUCUUCUCAUAGAACUUUCUUGAGAAUUCAAGCUCUCCUGAUAGAUUGUUUCCAUUGAUGUAGAGAGCACCAAGACAAGGCAAUGUCUCGAGCCUUCUCGAUGGGACAGUGCCGGUUAAAUUGUUGUCGUUGAGACCAAGAAACCUCAAUCUUUUCAAACUUGUUAAACCUAAAGGAAUCUCACCACUUAAACCCAUCUUUGACAGAUCCAAAAUGACCAAAUUGCCCAUAUUCUCCCACUUUAUUCCCAUCAUGUCAUCACUGCCCAUUGGGUUCCCUGAUAAAACAAGAUCCGUUAAAGAUCGAAUCUUUACGACGUUUUCGAACAACCCUCCAGAGAUUAUGUUGUUCCUAAGAUCCAACAGUGUCAGAUUCUUCAAAAACCCGAUUUCUUGAGGUAACUUGCCUUCUAAGUGGUUAUUGCUUAGGUCAAGCUUAAGCAAUGAAACCAUCUCUCCAAUGGACGAAGGCAAUGUCCCUGAGAUUAAGUUCCGACUCAUAUCCAAGAUCAGUAAAUCCUUAAACCCAUUAAAACAAUCCGGAAUCGUUCCCGUGAACAAGUUUCCCGCCAGAACCAACCGUUUUAACCUAGUUAAAUUGCAGAGACUCGUCGGUAACUUCCCGUUAAACCCGUUUUCAAGAACCACCAAAGACUUCAGCUUUGUGAGACAUCCAAUUGUUUCAGGAAGUUCACCAAUCAAACCAGGAUUGGAUCUAAACUCGAGAGAUUCUAAGUUACUUGCCAAGUUAAUCCAAUCCUCUUUAGGUAUUGUUAUCGGCGAAGUGAAGCAGUUGAAGAACGUGAGAGAUUUCAAGUGCUUGAGCUUGAACAACUGUGGCUUUAUCUUCAAACUUGCACCGCAAGAAAGCGAGUUUUCAUGAACGAGACCUAGGGUUAGAUCCGUGACAUACCACAAGUCACCAUAAAGAUCACAAGAAACACCCUGAAAAUCCAAAAAAAAAGUUUCAAAUUAUUGAAACAAUAAUAAAAAAGGAAUUUUGUUAGUUGUGGGCCAAUUAUUGUACAUAUAUAAUUGAAGCCAAAAACAUUUAAAGAAAUAAAAAUGAGAUCUUAUAUGUAAAUAGGUAUACACUUUGAUGCGUUGAAGCUUAAAAGUUUCACUUACUGGUUAUGGAAAUUUCAAAGGGGACAGAAUUAUUCAGACAACUACAGAACAAAUUCUUGAACAUAAACUUUAAGUGUUCAAGAAAAUCCCAAGAAUCUAGAAAAGAAUAAAUCAAAGAUUUGUAAGAAAGUAAAACAAGAACCUGAAUAGGAGUCCAACCACAAGGGUCAGGGUAAAGAUCAGAACCAUUCCAAGAAUCACCAACAAAUCCUUGAAUAGCUGAGUAAAGAGCUUCUUGUUCUGUUUUCUCCAUCGGAGCUCCAUCAUCAGUGACUUCCGGUGAUGAUUCUCCGGUAACGCACCACCGGAAGGUUAGAAAAAGGAACAAAACAGAGUGAAUCCAAGACAUUGUGGGAAAACAGAGGAAAUGAGAUAGAUAAAACAAAGUUUGUGGAUUUUGGUUUGAGGUUAUCUCUGGGUUUCUUUAUCUAUUGGUGUUAAAAAUAUUUAUUGAAGAGAGAGCGAGAGGUCGUUGGGGGAGUCAAUGGAUUUCUCUUUAUUAUUAUAGCUCAAAAACGUUACGAGAAGGGGAAAAUUAAAUUAAAAGACUGAAAAAAUGAAAAUGAAAUCGAGGGACUGUAACGAGAAAGACAUUUGGUUAUAUGUUGUUGUCUCUGUCACAUAAAAGUAAAUGUGGCAUUUGUUCCCAUAUCCCAUACUCCCUCUGUUUCACAAAGAAUGUAGUUUUAGAGUUUUGCACAUAGAUUAAGAAAACAUUAAAUUUUUUGUUUUUUCUAAACAAAAACAUCAUUAACUAUAGGAAAAAAGAUACUCAGCUACACGAAAUAUAACGGAAUACAUGGCUACACAUGCCAAGUUUAAAAAUGUACAACCAACUACACAAACUAAAUGUAUUGCAUGCCUACAUAUACCAACUAUAUGACGACAUGUGGUCAAUAUCACGAACAUCUUAUUCUGGUAUACUAAUCAUCGAAAUCCGGCGUUGACCAUCGUUGACCGGUAUUGACCAACAAAAAUAUUCAAUUUUUUUUAUAUUUUAAUAUUAAAAACAAAAACAAAAAAUUAUUCUAUUAAAUCUUUUAUUGUAUUGUAUAAUUAAAGAGGAAAACACAUUCUAUAUAGUAUAUUCAACUUAAAUAAAUUUUGUAUAUAUAUUUAAUAAAUUGAUUAUUAUAAUUAGUUAGUUUUUUCAAUUUCAAAACUAAAAUAAAAGUGAAAUAAAAAUAAUUAAGCGAAUUCCUUAUUUUUACAUUGUCAAUAAAAACAUUAACUUCUUAUUUUAUAAAUGUUUUUUGCUAAAAUCAAUAUCGUUAGAUUUUUUAUUUGCUAUAUAUUAAAAAAAACAAAUUACGACCUUUUUUGUUAUUUAUCCGUUAUUGCGAAUUUUUUUUUAAUAAUUUUAAUUACAUAAAUUAAUAAUAUAUUAAAGUUAGACUAAAGAGUAUGUAAAAUUUUCUAUGUUUUUAACUAUGUAUUAUGAUUUUGAUUUUAGCAAAAAAAACUUAAUAUUUUUUAAACAUGCAAACUUUAGAUUAAAGAGUCAUAUACUCAAUUUUUCUAAAAAAAAUAAUAAUAUUUAUUUCAUUUCACUUUUAGUUUAGUUUUGAUUUUUGAAGUUAAAAAAAUUAACUAAUUAUUAAAAUCACUACCGGUCAAUACUAAAAAAAUUAACUAAUUACUAAAUUUUUUUUUUGAAUAUUUACUAAAAAAAUUAACUAAUUACUAAAAAAAAUUUUGAAUAUUUUUGUUGGUCAAUACCGGUCAACAAUGGUCAACGCCGGAUUUCGUUGAUUAGUGUACCGGAAUAAAUGUUCGUGAUGUUAAGCACAUGUCGUCAUAUAGUUGGUAUAUGUGGGCAUGUAAUACAUUUAGUUCGUGUAGUUGGUUGUACAUUUUUAAACUUGGCAUGUGUAGCCAUGUAUUCCGUCAUACUUCGUGUAGCUGAGUAUCUUUUUUCCUUAACUAUAUACCUAAACAUAAUCUGCCCAAUAGUAAAAACAAUAUGCAUAAUACUAAUAGUCAUAAAACAUAAAAAAUCAUUAAAUUUUGCAUUGAAAACCUAAAACGACACUCUUUGUGAAACAAAAAUAAAACCUUAAAACGACAUUCUUUAUGAAACGGAGGGAGUACAUGUUAAUAUACACGUAUCUACUUCUUCAACUUUUUAUUUUUCUAUUUUUAAGUAGAUAUAUUAUUUAUUAACAAUGAAAAAUAAAAUAAAAACAAUAAAAAAAUUGGGCUUACAAUUAUUUUUAGGCUUUAAUACCUAAAUAAUAAGUCAUAAAGCCUUUAAGUUACAAAAUCUUAUAUGGGCCUAAACAUACCUCGAAUAUCCGUUAUCCGACCCAAAUUUUAGGAUUAUUCGUAUUCGUAUUCGUAUCCGGAAUCUCCGUCAUUUUGGUAUCCGUAUCCGUAUCCGUUUGGCCGGAUAUCCGUUUUUCGGAUAAAAAACCGGAUAUGAAUACGGAUAUCCGCGGAUAACAGAUAUAAAUCUCAGGCCUAUCUAGACGAUCUUUGAUCCAGAAGAUGUCGAGCUAAUAAGUGUCCUACAUGUGGGCUCGCCAACUAAGAAAGAUACUCUGGGUUAACAUUUUACAAAAUCAGGAAAAUAUACAGUCAAAUCGGGAUAUCACACUACACGGAUAGAAAAGUCGGAGACCAAUUUAUCUUUUAUUGGCCCAGACAUAAAACCGCUAAAAGCACAUUCUUGGCAAAUGUAGUGUCCACCUAAGGUACGCCAUUUCUUGUGGCAAAUCUUAACGGGUUAUGUACCGGUUAUGGAGAAUUUGCAGAAAAGAGGAAUUGAUUGUGACAAACGAUGUGCUAGAUAUAGCGAAUCAGAGGAAACAAUCAAUCAUACACUCUUUCAGUGCCACCUGACACGACAGAUUUGGGCGCUUUCAAAGAUUUCUACGGCUAUGGAGAAUUUUCCCACGGAAUCUAUUUUUGCGAAUCUGGAUCACUUAUUCUGGAGAAUACCUUCGGAAUUGGAUUCAUCAGUCUUUCCAUGGAUUAUCUGGUAUAUUUGGAAAGUAAGGAAUGCAAAAAUCUUUGAAAAUAUAGACAAAGACCCGUUAGAGGUAUUAUAGUUUGCGAAAAAAGAGGCACAAUUGUGGCAAUCAGCUCAAAUCGAGCUUCAUAAUGAAAAGCAUGGUUCUGUGGAUUUGCUAACUCGGUCUCGAGUGAGAGAUUAUUCACUUGAUUCGAAUUAUUCUGGACACCGUUGCUUUGUGGAUUGAUCAUGGAAAGAAAGUGAUAAGUUCUCCGGUACAUGGUGGUUUUGUAUAUCAUUAAAUAGAGAGCCGCCAACCAUGGGAGCUGCCAACCUUCGUAGAAGGUUAUCUCCACUACAUACAGAAGUUGAGGCCCUUCUUUGGACGAUGAAGUGUAUGAUUGGUGCGGAUAAUCAAGAGGUAGUGUUCUUUACAAACUGUUCUGAUCUGGUGAAGAUGGUAUCUUCUCCAACCGAAUAGCUGGUGUUUUCAGUGUAUUUGGAGAAAUCUCAGAGCGACAAGAAAGAAUUCUCAACCGUUUCUUUAUCUUUAAUUUCUCAUAGUGCUAUGUAAAAGUAGACAAUCUGGCACGAAAAAUUCUUACAGAACCGCUACAUAUCAUAUAUGUAAACAAUAUUCCUGAAAAAUGGCUCAUUUGAUCUCUAAUUACGACAAAAAAAAACUGGCAUUUUAACUAUUUUGGGAGGAUAAUGAUUGAACCGAGACUAAAUCGGAGAAUAAACAUAAACCAAAACCCUCUGAUUCAUUAGAAGGAUAAUUUUGCUGUAUCACACCACACCAGCUCGGAUUUUAAUAUCUCUAGCCCCUUUGGGAAGAUUCAAUUUUUGGAAAACCCCUCUUUAUUCUCACUACCCCCUCUCCUUCCCAAUUUUUCCAUAAACCAACUCUACCCCUUAUCCCUUUAAUUCUACAUUUAAUUUAAUACCAACACAUUUUUUAUUUAACCAAUCAAAAACUUUCUCUCUCUUCUCUCAUUAAAAAAAACAAACCUACUAAAUGUCUCACCUUUUACGACAAUAAACCUACGAGACCUUCUUCUUCUUCUUCUUCAACAUCUCCGACAUUGCAGCUCCGACGUUCUUCAGCAGCUCCGACGUUGCAGCUCCGGCGUUCUUCUUCUUCUUCUUCUUCUUCUUCUCCAUCUACCAUUGAAGCUCACCAUUAAAGCUUGCAUCUCCAAAGACAUAUCUCUUCUCUUCUUCUUCUUCUAUUCCCACCAUACUGUAAGGUAAGUAUACUUGUUUUCUUAGUGUAGUAUGAUUAAGUUGAAUUCGUAUCUCGAAUAGGGUUAUUUAUUGAAAUAUUUUAGGAUUGCAGAUUUGGGACAACUGAAACCACUGGGUACAACAACUAAGUAGAAUAUUUUCGAAAACCCUAAGUUUGGUGCAACUGGGACAAAUGUGUACAACAAUGUUGAUGGUCUGCUACGAAAAUUAUAAAAUUAUAGGCCCUUUUUUCUCUCUGUUUUUUUUAGGGACAAUGAAAAGGAAUUCAGUCAUACUCCCGAUCUUUGGGCACAUGAUUUGUGCUCAAAGUAUUAUUGGAUCGAGCUUUGGGUUUUGGCGUAUACGAGGACAAUUUAUCCGGUUCCCAUAACAGUCAAUGGGUUCUUCCUGAGGAGAUAAUGCAACUGUUUGCAUAUCCUCCGGAUUAUGAGGUAAAACAAGGAGGAAGACAAGAAACAAGAUUCCCCUCCGUUGGAGAACAUAGAGGAAGAGGACGUAAGAAGAGGUCGCAUGGAUCGAGCGGUUUGGGCGUUGAUGGAGACGAUGAUGGAGACGAUGCGGGGGACCAAGGUUAAUUUCUCAGUGCUAUUUAUUAGGUUAAUUUAAGAAACGAUGUUGUUUGUAUUGGUUUUGUUUGUGAAACUUAUAUGUUCUGUGUUGUACAACUAAGUUUUAGCAAGUACAACUAUGGUUGAUUUUCUUCUCGUAUCUGUGCAAAUUUUGUCAGUCUGGGUACAAUUAAGUACCACAAGUACAACUAAGGUCUAAUGCCUUAGCCAAUUUUCAGAAUUUUAUAUAAUAUGAAAAUUUAAAACAAAAUUAAAAAAACUUAAAAAAUGCAUACACAAUGGUAAUGAAACUACACAACAAGUUUUUGACAAAAAAUUUCAUAUUUAAAAAAAAAUACUGAAAUUCUUACUCAAAAUCCCACAUUCAUACACUAACAACCUUAUACUUUCAUGGUUACUUUGUAGAUUUGAACUAAAAUUUUAUAAAUUUUUGAAAUACUUAUAUUUUGAUAAAUAUAAAUGCACAGAUACAAAGUAAUGGUAUUUUUAUGAGGCAAUACCAUCGGUUCCACCAACAAAAAUUAAAUUAGAGUUGAUAACAACUAGAUUUACUAAAAUCUCUAUAUUGUACAACUAUGAGCAAAAAUGUGCAACCGAGUACAACUGUACAACUAUGAACAAAUUUGAGCUAUUAUUUAAUGAUUGUUUUCAAAAUAACGGCGCCAGGUAUACCAUUUGUCAGUUUUUUUUUAAAAUAACGGCGCCAGGUAUACCAAAAUAUCAACUAGAUUCACUUUUUUUUUUUUUUUUUCCAAAACCCUUACAAACCUACAUAUUUGUCAAAUUUUUUGAUUAAUUUAGAAUUUUUUUUUUUUUGGUUCAAAACCCUUAGAUUAUAUUCAAUACAUAGAUUCAUACAUAAAAAUAUUAAGAUUCAGAUUAAAAGAUUCAUACAUAACUAGAAUCAGAUUCAAAGAUUUCAUACAUAAUAAAAAAAACAUAAACCCAGAAACAUAGUUGUACCUAAUCGUACCAGUUGUACCUAAACACUUAGAUUUAUACAUCAAUAUGAGAGACCAAAAUAAGGCUCUUUCUCCUUCUUCUUUUUUCAUAAAGUAAGACUUAGAUUUAUACAUCAACAUCAGAGACCAUAAUAAGAUUCAUACAUAAUCAAAAAACAUAAACCCAGAAACAUAGUUAUACCUAAUCGUACCAGUUGUACCUAAACAUUCUCCAAAGACGGUUCGACUCAUUGAUCUUCCAUGACAUCAUCCUCUGCAGCUGCUGUCUCUGAAUGCUUUGGAUACGAUUGCCUUUGUCUUUUGGGAUUUCUAAGCUCGGCAGAUUAUUCACUUCUAGAACAAGAUGGUUCACUUCUAGAACUAGAAGCUCUUCCUAUGGUAAUAGCCUUUGUAAACCAACCUGCAACAACAAAUACAAAUUCAAUAUCUAUCUACUUACACAAACUCAAACUCACAUAAUCUCAAGAGAUAAAGUUUGGAUUUUUCAACAAAUUUCAAAAAAUCCGAAACACACUAUUUGUAUCUAUCUAAAUGAAAAAUUCAAAUCCGAAAUAUAUAGAGAAAUUCAAGAUCGAACAUUUGGACAAAUUCAAAUCCGAAAACAAGACAAAUUGAAAUCUGAAAAUCAAUCCACAAAUCAAAAUCCUCAAACCCCAACACAAUCCAUCCAUAAAUCAUCAAAACCCAACACAAUCCAUCCAUAAAUCAUCAAAACCCAACACACUCAAACAAAAGAAACCUUAAUCCAUCUGUUUCAAACUUUAAUUAAACCGGAAUCCAAUUAAACCCAACACAACACAAUCAAUCGAAGGAUCCUUAUUAAACCCUCAAAGAAAAAGAAAAAAAAAACAAAUUCAAUCGAAAACCCAUUCAUAAUCCAUCUGUUUCAAACAAAAUCAAACCAUUAUUAUACCCAACACAACACAAUCAAUCGCUCAAAGAAAAAAAUCAAACCAUAUCUCGGAUCAAUCGAAAUAUAUGGAUCAAACAAAAGAAUUUUUACAAAGAGAAGACACAGAGAUUUCUCACCGCGGUUUCACGGUGGAUUUCUCGGAUUCACGGUGGCUAUCUCAGAUUCACGGAGAAACGAGUGAAGAGGAAAGAGGAAGAAGAUGGUAUCGACUGAAACAAGAUAUACAGGAGAAGAAGAAGAGGAUCCAGAAGAAGAAAACGAAAUUUUGGAAGAAGAAGAUGAAGGAGUGGAGUAUGAAAUCGGAAAAUCUCAGUCACCGGUAGAGAGGAAAAGAAAACGACCGACUGUCGAGAGUGGGAGGGAGGAUUGUCGUUUUUGGGAAUUAGGGUUUGUUUGAGAAAUAAGAGAAAGAUCCGAAAUUAAGCCCAAUACUAUUGGAUAUUUGACCCAAACAUAGGUUGAGUCAGUAAAUAAGUCGAAAACCCUCAAUAUAAUUGUCUUUUACUUUUUUUUGGUAGGGAUAUAAUUGUCUUUUACUAAUAUUUCAAAUUAAAAUAAACACUUGUAUAAUUGGAUUUUAAUCUAGUCGGCCCCCUGUACUCAAAAUCCAUUCCAUUUAGCCCCCGUAAUAAAAUUAAUAUAGUUAAUAGUUUAUUUUAAUUCAGAAAAAUAGUAAAAGACAAAUAAAACAAGGAAUUUUCACUUAUUUACGACCCAACCAGUCAGUUGGAUCUAGAUCCAUAUGACUUUCGGAUCUUUUAUCCCUAAAGUCAAUCCAAACACUAAUUUCCAAAUCACCUUUUUUUUAUUUCUCCUCUCUACGACUUUUUCAUCUUCUUCGUUUCUCUCUGUCUCGAGUCAACAAUCCGACAAACACAAAGCUUUCAAUCUCUUUUCUUCUUUUUUUUUCUCUCUUUUCUCGAUUCCAUCGAUACUCAUUCAUCUUUUUCAUCUUCCCUCUUCACUCGUUUCUAUCGAUCCAAAGAUCCGUCCUCUCCCUUCUUCUUCGUGAGAAAUUCGCAGUGAAAUCGAGAAAUCCGCCGUGAGAAAUCCGCCGUGAGAACUCCGCCGUGUCUUCUCUUUGUAAGAUUUCAUUUGUUUGAUCCCUAAUUUUGUUUUAUUGUGUUGGGUUUAAUUAGGAUUUGAUUUCUUCCAAUUUAUUCUUCUAUGUGAGGGUUUGAUAUGUAAUUCUCUUUGAUUUUGUUUGAAACAAAUGCAUUUUGAAUGGAAUUUCGAUUACAAUUAGGAUUUUUUAUGAUUACAGUUCGGAUUUUAAGAUUACUAAUAGGAUUUGAAUUACAAUUCGGGUUUGAAAUUCGGACGACAUGUAGCUACUUUUUCUUGUUUUUAUUUGGAGAUAUUGAGUGAAAGUUGUAACUUUGUUUGUAAACUCUUCUUAAAAUGAUUGAUUUCUCUUGGUCAAUUUUGGAAGAAAUCUGGUUUCAAGUAAGUUAAUAAGGAGUGGAUUGCAGACAUAGAUGAAAUUUUUUGUACGUAUAUAUUAGCCUAUAACAUUUGUUUCUCUAUUACGAGAGGAGGAAAAGGAAAAGGAGACUGAGACUGAGACUGAGAAGGAGAAGGAGAAAGAGAAGGAUAAGGAGAAGAAGAAGCAGAAGAAGACUUGGUGUGUUCAGAUGUGUUUUGGUUUCUAAUGUUAUGUAUGAAUCUAAGUGUUUAGGUACAACUGGUACACUUAUGUACAACUAUGUAUCUGGGUUUGUAUGAAUCUAAGUUUUUUUGACAGAAAAAUCACCAAAAAACUAUGAGUCAAAGUGUUUUGAUCAAAAAAUUCACAACAACACUAUGAAUCUACUAAGUAU